GCAACUCGCCUAUAUGAAGUUGGAAUUGCUAGUAAUCGCGGAUCAGCAUGCCGCGGUGAAUACGUUCCCGGGCCUUGUACACACCGCCCGUCACACCAUGAGAGCCGGUAAUACCCGAAGUCAGUAUCCUAACCGCAAGGGGGGAGCUGCCGAAGGUAGGAUUGGCGAUUGGGGUGAAGUCGUAACAAGGUACC
rnacentral:rRNA from 1 species